rnacentral:rRNA from 1 species
CACGGGGGGAGCAAGCGUUGUUCGGAAUCACUGGGCGUAAAGGGCGUGUAGGCGGCUUGGCAAGUCGGAUGUGAAAUCCCUCGGCUCAACCAAGGAAGUGCAUCCGAAACUGCUGAGCUUGAGUACUUAAGAGGAUCGCGGAAUUCCUGGUGUAGCGGUGAAAUGCGCAGAUAUCAGGAAGAACACCCGUGGCUAAGGCGGCUCUCUAGUACGUGACUGACGCUGAGACGCGAAAGCGUGGGGAGCGAACAGG